AUGAAGACUUUCCUGCUCCUCUUUAUAUCACUGGCCUGCUUGUCAGGUGUCCAGUCUCAGCAACUUGUCCAGUCAUCAGACCCAGUGGUGAUAAAGCCCGGGAAUUCCUAUAGAGCCUCAUGUACGGCUUCUGGAUUCACCUUCAGUAGCUCUAAUAUGUACUGGGUUAGACAGCGUCCUGGCGGAGAAUUACAGUGGGUUGCAUAUAUUGGUAGCGGUGGGGGCGGCACAAGCUAUCAUGAUUCUGUUCAAGGACGAUUCACAAUCUCCAGAAAUAACAAUAAUAACCUGUUAUAUCUACAAAUGACCAACAUGAAGACUGAGGACUCUGCCGUGUAUUACUGUGCAAGACACACACUAAUAGAAUACAAUGUCUGA